GAUUAGAGUUUGAUCAUGGCUCAGGACGAACGCUGGCGGCGUGCCUAAUACAUGCAAGUCGAACGAACUCUGGUAUUGAUUGGUGCUUGCAUCAUGAUUUACAUUUGAGUGAGUGGCGAACUGGUGAGUAACACGUGGGAAACCUGCCCAGAAGCGGGGGAUAACACCUGGAAACAGAUGCUAAUACCGCAUAACAACUUGGACCGCAUGGUCCGAGUUUGAAAGAUGGCUUCGGCUAUCACUUUUGGAUGGUCCCGCGGCGUAUUAGCUAGAUGGUGAGGUAACGGCUCACCAUGGCAAUGAUACGUAGCCGACCUGAGAGGGUAAUCGGCCACAUUGGGACUGAGACACGGCCCAAACUCCUACGGGAGGCAGCAGUAGGGAAUCUUCCACAAUGGACGAAAGUCUGAUGGAGCAACGCCGCGUGAGUGAAGAAGGGUUUCGGCUCGUAAAACUCUGUUGUUAAAGAAGAACAUAUCUGAGAGUAACUGUUCAGGUAUUGACGGUAUUUAACCAGAAAGCCACGGCUAACUACGUGCCAGCAGCCGCGGUAAUACGUAGGUGGCAAGCGUUGUCCGGAUUUAUUGGGCGUAAAGCGAGCGCAGGCGGUUUUUUAAGUCUGAUGUGAAAGCCUUCGGCUCAACCGAAGAAGUGCAUCGGAAACUGGGAAACUUGAGUGCAGAAGAGGACAGUGGAACUCCAUGUGUAGCGGUGAAAUGCGUAGAUAUAUGGAAGAACACCAGUGGCGAAGGCGGCUGUCUGGUCUGUAACUGACGCUGAGGCUCGAAAGUAUGGGUAGCAAACAGGAUUAGAUACCCUGGUAGUCCAUACCGUAAACGAUGAAUGCUAAGUGUUGGAGGGUUUCCGCCCUUCAGUGCUGCAGCUAACGCAUUAAGCAUUCCGCCUGGGGAGUACGGCCGCAAGGCUGAAACUCAAAGGAAUUGACGGGGGCCCGCACAAGCGGUGGAGCAUGUGGUUUAAUUCGAAGCUACGCGAAGAACCUUACCAGGUCUUGACAUACUAUGCAAAUCUAAGAGAUUAGACGUUCCCUUCGGGGACAUGGAUACAGGUGGUGCAUGGUUGUCGUCAGCUCGUGUCGUGAGAUGUUGGGUUAAGUCCCGCAACGAGCGCAACCCUUAUUAUCAGUUGCCAGCAUUAAGUUGGGCACUCUGGUGAGACUGCCGGUGACAAACCGGAGGAAGGUGGGGAUGACGUCAAAUCAUCAUGCCCCUUAUGACCUGGGCUACACACGUGCUACAAUGGAUGGUACAACGAGUUGCGAACUCGCGAGAGUAAGCUAAUCUCUUAAAGCCAUUCUCAGUUCGGAUUGUAGGCUGCAACUCGCCUACAUGAAGUCGGAAUCGCUAGUAAUCGCGGAUCAGCAUGCCGCGGUGAAUACGUUCCCGGGCCUUGUACACACCGCCCGUCACACCAUGAGAGUUUGUAACACCCAAAGUCGGUGAGGUAACCUUUUAGGAACCAGCCGCCUAAGGUGGGACAGAUGAUUAGGGUGAAGUCGUAACAAGGUAGCCAAUC
rnacentral:rRNA from 1 species